rnacentral:lncRNA from 1 species
GUGAUGGCUGGUGGGAACAGCACUUUCCUUUUGUGGGAAGAUGGUGUGGUGUGCAGUAGUGGUCACUGUUGGAGAGAUGUUUAUGUCUUGUACAUGAAGAGCUGCUCUCCCUCUGAUAGCUGCCUGCCAAGCGGCUCCAUCCAUCAUUGAGAGCGGGCACCACACGGCUCACUGCCCCAAGGUAUCCUGAAAUAUUUCUCCCAACUUUAACAUGUUCAUUCUCUCCACCUUAAUUUGCUAUGAAGACAUCUAUCUCACUGGUGAUAUAAGAGUGAUUUUCCUGGUUUAGAACUAUGGUGUACCUGUUUUGACUUUAAAUUAGAUGAGUAGUUGACAUCUCAGAUCCUGCCGAAGGCCUGUGCAUUCUGAUCAAGAGACAGGAGGAGACAGCAGGAGACAUGGAAAGGAUUAUAUAAAGACUGUUUCUUCCUGGACUCAUGGACCAAUGGGGAGAAAAGCUAGUUACAUUCUGUAACAAGCAAAAAACCGGAGGAAAAAACUCCUUCAGAGCAGAAGUUUGGACACCUCCGUCCCCAUGCUGAGCCCCUCCAGCUAAACCAGUGUUCUUGGAGCCCCGUUUUUGCUUUACUAUUAGCUCCAUGAAGGCCAAGACUGUCUUUUUCACUUUGAUCAUAGCUAUUCAGUCAUAGCUUGUUGAAA